rnacentral:rRNA from 1 species
UGAGGAAUAUUGGUCAAUGGACGCAAGUCUGAACCAGCCAAGUAGCGUGAAGGACGACCGCCCUAUGGGUUGUAAACUUCUUUUAUAGGGGAAUAAAGUGGGUCACGUGUGGCCUUUUGUAUGUACCUUAUGAAUAAGGAUCGGCUAACUCCGUGCCAGCAGCCGCGGUAAUACGGAGGAUCCGAGCGUUAUCCGGAUUUAUUGGGUUUAAAGGGAGCGUAGGCGGGGGCUUAAGUCAGUUGUGAAAGUUUGCGGCUCAACCGUAAAAUUGCAGUUGAUACUGGGUCCCUUGAGUGCGGCAGAGGCAGGCGGAAUUCGUGGUGUAGCGGUGAAAUGCUUAGAUAUCACGAAGAACUCCGAUCGCGAAGGCAGCUUGCCGGACCGUAACUGACGCUGAUGCUCGAAAGUGCGGGUAUCAAACAGG